UGUUACUUCUGUCAGAGCUGAACUUGAAAUUGCCAUCUCAUUUUUGGAGACCUACAGUUGAAUAUUUGCAUAUCUCUGGAAUGGUGUCUUAGUCUGUUUUGUGCUACUAUAACAGAAGACCACAGACUGAGUCAUUUAUAAGAGCAGAAAAUUUAUUUGGCUCAUGGAGCAGCCUAGAACCCUACUAUUAGGUCUGAGUCAGUCAGAUGGAAAGAAGGCGAAGUAGAAGCAUCGAGGUCGAAUCAGUCACACAUGGACUUCCCUAGUGGACUCAUUGAAAACCAGACCUUCUGAGCCACCCUUGGUAGGGGCUCUGGAAGUGGCUUCUGAAGAGACCCCAUUCUGCACCUCCACCAAGGGCCUGGUGGGAGAAGUGUGCCCUGCAGUGCCCUCAGAAAGGCCCACUGAAACUGCAAACAUUCCCUUUCUGCACUGCCAUUUGGUUCAUGAAGACAUAUGGCUGGGAGAAGUUGAGUAUCCUAUGUCACCUUUUAGUCCAACAAUUUUAUGGAGGCUUAGCAUGGGCAGGCCUGGUGCCAGGUGAUGAGGAUGCACAUGGGAGCAGAUCUGGCCCUGCACAUAGGAGCCCACAUUUCUGGAUAGUGGGGCGGAGGUGACACAUGUCCACAUAACUGCAGUGUACAGAGAUAGCAAAACAGUAAGAUACAGGAUGAUUGAAGGUCUGUCUGUAGCUCAUCCAAAUGAUAUGGUGACCAGUUCCCAAGAGGAAUCUCUACACGUUUCCUGCUAUUGAGCCUAUGGAGCGUGAUAAAAGAAAUCUGGGCUGGGUGUGGUGGCUCACGCCUGUAAUCCCACCACUUUGGGAGGCUGAGGUGGGUGGAUCACCUGAGGUCAGGAAUUCUAGACCAGCCUGGCCAACAUGACAAAACCCCUUCUCUACUAAAAAUACAAAAAAUUAGCCAGGCAUGGUGGCAGAUGCCUGUAAUCCCAGCUAUUUGGGAGGCUGAGGCAGGUGCCAUCCCAGCCAACAUGGCACCAUCCCAGCCAGCAUGGUGCUAUCCCAGAAAAUAUGGCACCAUUCUAACCAACAUGGCACCACCCCAGCCUCAGGUAUUCCUUUAUAGCAAUACGAAUGGACUAAGACACUGGCAUAGCAAUAACACUAAUAAAUAUAUAUUGACUGAAUGAAAGAACAAACAUGUUAUCUUUCUGAAAGAAUAUAUUUUUUGGCCAGGCUUGGUGGCUCACGCCUGUAAUCCCAGCACUUUGGGAGGCCGAGGCGGGUGGAUCACGAGGUCAGGAGAUCGAGACCAUCCUGGCUAACAUGGUGAAACCCCAUCUCUACUAAAAACACACACAAAAAAAAUUAGCCGGGCAUGGUGGCAAGCAUCUGUAGUCCCAGCUACUAGGGAAGCUGAGGCAGGAGAAUGGUGUAAGCUUGCAGUGAGCAGAGAUGGGCUUACUGCACUCCAGCCUGGGUGACAGAGCAAGACUCCGUCUCAAAAAAAGAAAAAGAAGAAUGUAUUUUUUACAACACAAUCAAAUCAAUGCCUUAAAACUAGGCUGUCAUCACAUUUUUCCCCCCGUUUUACAUACUUAAAUUGGCUAAAUCAAGAAUAGGGGCUGGCUCUCAGUCCCUACCUCGUGGGGGGUGCCUCCCCUCCCUGCGAUGGGGGUCCUAAGAGCCUGGGGCGGAAGAGGGGCUGGCUCUCAGCCACCACAAAAUGGGGAGCCUUUAUGUUCAGGUUUUGCCCAAGAGUCAGCUUAUUUGCUUCUGGUACUAGCAGGGCAGUUGAUGCCGUGGCCUUCAAACAUGGGGGCCAUCCUUUAGAAACCCUUUCUAUUUGUUUAGACACGUAGGCCACCGGCCUCAGCCAGGGCCCCAGAGUUUCGGUUAAAAUUCCAGCUGCCAUCUUUUCUCUAUCUGACGCAUUCAAUGGAAAAGGCUUUGUCAGAUCUGGUAGCCCCGGGGCUGGGGCUGCCAGAAGUUUUUCCUUUAACUCAUGAAAGACUUGCUGUUGUUGGGAUCCCCAUUCUAAAGGUUCCCGGUCCCCGCCCCCUUUGUGACCUCAUACAAAGACUUGGCUAAUACUGCAAAGUUUGGGAUGCACAGUCUACAAAACCCCACAGCCCCUAAGAAUUCCCUCACCUGCCUUCUGCCCUUAGGCUCCGGUAGAUUGCAAAUGACCUGCUUUCUUUCUGUUCCCGGGCGUUUGGACCCCUGUCUUGGACCGCUGUCGGAUAGUAAAUCCCAAGUAAGGUACCUGCCGUCGGCAGAUUUGAGCUUUCUUCUUGGACACCUAAUACCCAGAGUCCUCCAGGCUCCGGUAGAUUGCAAAUGACCUGCUUUCUUUCUGUUCCCGGGCGGCAUCGGACCCGUCGGAGAGUAAAUCCCAAGUAAGGUACCUGCCGUUGGCAGAUUUGAGCUUUCUUCUUGGACACCUAAUACCCACAGUCCUCCAGUAAAUCCCAAGCAAGGUACCUGCCGUCAGCAGAUUUGAGCUUUCUUCUUGGACACCUAAUACCCACAGUCCUCCAGGCUCCGGUAGAUUGCAAAUGACCUGCUUUCUUUCUGUUCCCGGGCUGCGUUCGGACCCCUGUCGGAUAGUAACUCCCAAGUAAGGUACCUGCCGUCGGCAGAUUGGAGCUUUCUUCUUGGAGACCUAAUACCCACAGUCCUCCAGGCUCCGGUAGAUUGCAAAUGACCUGCUUUCUUUCUGUUCCCGGGCUGCGUUCGGACCCCUGUCGGAGAGUAAAUCCGAAAAAAACAAACAAAGACAUGGAUUUACUGUGCAUAUUAGCAGAUCCAUACUGGAAAAUGCAUGGAGGUUUCAUAUACACCACUUACAGUUUUCAGCUCCUCAGUAGUGACAAAGCCAUACCCAUCAUUGUCGAUUCGAUCAACAAUCUUCCCUAGCCUCUCCUUGCUCUCGUCCGGGGUGAGCUCGUCGAAGUUCUUGGAGUCCUCCUUGCCCAGGAAGGCCUCGUGGUCGUACUGGAAGCUCUGGUUGUCCUCAGGGGGCCGCUCGCCCAGCUCCGAGUCGGGCCGCACCACGCGCUCUUUGCGCACCGUGGGCUUGGCCCGCAGAACCCGCGGCGCCAGCACCAGCGCCAGCAGCAGCCCCAGGGCUAACCCCAGGCGGCCACCGCGCGCCAUCGUCCCGAGGAGAGGGCGGCCGGGAGGGAGACGCUGAGCGAGCGACAACAGCGGCAGCUCGGGAAUGGGGGCUCGGAGCGCGGCGGCCAAGUUUUAUGUUA
rnacentral:lncRNA from 1 species